rnacentral:rRNA from 1 species
AUUGAACGCUGGCGGCAGGCUUAACACAUGCAAGUCGAGCGAGCGGCGGACGGGUGAGUAAUGUCCGGGAAACCGCCUGAUGGAGGGGGAUAACUACUGGAAACGGUAGCUAAUACCGCAUACCAUCAGAUGUGCCCAGAUGGGAUCAGCUAGUAGGUGGGGUAAUGGCUCACCUAGGUGACGAUCCCUAGCUGGUCUGGGAGGAUGAACAGCCACACUGUAACUGGGACACGGUCCAGACUCCUACGGGAAGCGGCAGUGGGGAAUAUUGCACAAUGGGAGCAAGCCUGAUGCAGCCAUGCCGCGUGUGUGAAGAAGGCCUUCAGAUUGUAGAGCACUUUCAGCGAGGAGGCGUUACUCGCAGAAGAAGCACCGGCUAACUCCGUGCCAGCAGCCGCGGUAAUAC